rnacentral:rRNA from 1 species
GACGAACGCUGGCGGCGUGCUUAACACAUGCAAGUCGAACGGUGAAGCGCCUUCCUUUUUGGUGGGUGUGGAUGAGUGGCGAACGGGUGAGUAACACGUGAGUAACCUGCCCCCUUCUUCUGGAUAACCGCAUGAAAGUGUGGCUAAUACGGGAUAUUCUGGGUCUGUCGCAUGAUGGGUCUGGGAAAGAUAUUGUUUCGGUGGGGGAUGGGCUCGCGGCCUAUCAGCUUGUUGGUGGGGUGAUGGCCUACCAAGGCGGUGACGGGUAGCCGGCCUGAGAGGGUGGACGGUCACACUGGGACUGAGACACGGCCCAGACUCCUACGGGAGGCAGCAGGGGGGAAUAUUGCACAAUGGGCGCAAGCCUGAUGCAGCGACGCCGCGUGAGGGAUGGAGGCCUUCGGGUUGUGAACCUCUUUCGCCAGUGAAGCAUGCCUGCCUCGUUUGUGGGUGGGUUGACGGUAGCUGGAUAAGAAGCGCCGGCUAACUACGUG